GCUCCCGUAGCUCAGCUGGAUAGAGCAACUGCCUUCUAAGCAGUAGGUCGCAGGUUCGAGCCCUGCCGGGAGUA
rnacentral:tRNA from 2 species